GCCAGGCGCGGUGGCACGUGCCUUGUAGUCCCAGCUACUCAGGAGGCUGAGGUGGGAGGAUCGCUUGAGCCCAGGAGUUCAGGGCUGUAGUGCACUAUGCCCAUCAGGUGUCUGCACUAAGUUCGGCAUCAAUAUGGUGACCUCCCGGGAGCGGGGGACCACCAGGUUGCCUAAGGAGGGGUGAACCGGCCCAGGUCAGAAACAGAGCAGAUCAAAACUCCCGUGCUGAUCAGUAGUGGGAUCGUGCCUGUGAACAGCCACUGCACUCCAGCCCAGGCAACAUAGCGAGACCUCGUCUCU
rnacentral:SRP_RNA from 1 species